rnacentral:rRNA from 1 species
CAGAAAUUAGCUUGUUAAUUUGCUGACGAGCGGCGGACGGGUGAGUAAUGCCUGGGAAUAUACCCUGAUGUGGGGGAUAACUAUUGGAAACGAUAGCUAAUACCGCAUAAUCUCUUCGGAGCAAAGAGGGGGACCUUCGGGCCUCUCGCGUCAGGAUUAGCCCAGGUGGGAUUAGCUAGUUGGUGGGGUAAUGGCUCACCAAGGCGACGAUCCCUAGCUGGUCUGAGAGGAUGAUCAGCCACACUGGAACUGAGACACGGUCCAGACUCCUACGGGAGGCAGCAGUGGGGAAUAUUGCACAAUGGGGGAAACCCUGAUGCAGCCAUGCCGCGUGUAUGAAGAAGGCCUUCGGGUUGUAAAGUACUUUCAGUUGUGAGGAAGGCGUUGGAGUUAAUAGCUUCAGCG